UAGGCUGCUUUUUUUAUUUUUAAAGAAAAUGUGCCUUUUAAAUGGCUGUGAGAGAGGAGAAGAUUAUCUAGGAAGAACCCUUCCUAAGGGUCCAGAAACUUAACCUUGCUUUUAUGCUGAGGGGCGUGAGUCAGUGGGAUGGAGAAGUAGGGCUUGGCAGUACAGGUAUAGGGGAAGAUAGUGAGCAAAGAGGAGGAUUCAGGAUGUGUGUGGCAGACUGAUAAGGAGACUGAUGGGACCACCUCUAUGGCAAGCCCUGCUCAACUCGGCAGUAAAUAACUAGUACCAGUGGCCGGGCGCACUGAUGUGCACCUACCCAGCCCUUCUGGGCUAGUUCAAGUAACCAAGAAACCUGCUGUUUCACCUUUCCAUGAUCAAGUGUGGAUUACCUUCUGGGGAUUCUCCCUGGGAAAUGAUGACCACAGUGGUUUUCUCUCAGCCUCCCAAGACAUGUCUGGGUCCCCACCCUGUUCCAUCUGCCAAGGUUGCUCAGGGGCUCCUGGAGCUGGAAAGGCUCUUGGAAAGCACCCAGACCAACUCCUUUGAGGGGCAGGGAUUGGCCACUUUGCUUUUUAGUGCAAAGCCCUGCUGAGCAGCCAGGCCACCUGACUCCUAGCCCAGUGCUAUUUGUGUUGGAGCAAAUGUAAUUAGAAGA